rnacentral:tRNA from 1 species
GGGAAUGUGGCUUAGUGGUAGAGUGCUUGCCUAACAUGCAUGAAGCCCUAGGUUUGAUGCCUCAGUACCA